CCGAGCCACCCUGCAUUGGACUCAGAUAACUAUGGACUGAAACCUCUAGAAACUGUGAGCUAAACAAACCUUUCCUCCUUCAACUUUAGGUGCUGGAUAUUUUAUCUCAGCAAUGAGAAAAGCAACUAAGACAAUGUGGAAGCAUGGUUAGAUCCAAAUCUAUCUGAUUCCAUAUGAGGCACCUCACUCAAGCAUGCACCUAGAGGGGCUGAGUCUUUACAUGUGAACAUCUCUUUACAUCUCUGUCUUUACAUGUGAACUGAGUACUCAAGUGUUUGCGAUGGUCAUGUAAAGGGCUUCAAGUUCAGCACGUGGAAAACAGGCUCUAACCAACAGAACUGGCUGGCAGAGAAAUACUCAGUUUAGAGCGAAGACCGCACUCCCAGAAAACCCAUAUGUUGGAAUGAUCAGACUUUAAAGUAGCUACUUUACUGAUAAAUCCACAUGAGCUUCCCUUUACCACUUCCAACAGCAUGCAUCAAAGGCAGAGAAUUAAGCCAGCUUCAGUGAAUCUGCAGCUCUAGGGAAUACAUUUCAAGAUACUUCAGUGGAUAAGUUAAACACAGUCAGCCAGCCGGGGACUGCACAGUACAUGCAGCCUAUCAAGCCACCUGUGUGGACAUGCCAUUUGUGCAGUGCAAUGCUGAAAGGUCCACAAACUCUUGAUCUGGGAAAUUACACACUAUCUGAGUCCUACAGUAAGUCCCUACCUUCAUCAAAUGGUCACAACCACUGGAUACAGUGACAUAUGCCUGUAAUCCCAGCUACUCUGGAAGCUGAAGCAGGAGGAUCACAAGUCUGAGACCAGCUUGGGCAAUUUAGAGAGACCCCAUCUCAAAAUAAAUAAAAAGGGUUGGGGUUCCAUCCCCAGUAGCGCACAAACCAACAACAACAAAAACAAUUAGAACUCUCAA